AUGCCGAUGCUACCACUUUUGGUGCUGCAUUUGCUAAUCCUCCUUCCUGGAAGAAGUUGGAGUGCCUGGAGCAACCCUCGUAGUGACAGCCACGUGUGGUACCACUCUCUUCAGACAGCAGGAGAAAGAUUUGAAGACCAUGUUCUGCUGAUAGAGCUUCUGUUGCAACAACUUGACACCUGGAUGGAAUGGCAAUUGGAGGCUUUUGAUAAGCUACUGAGUGAUCAUAUCAAGAACUUGCAGGAGUGGCUGGAAGAGCAUACCACAGAUCUCAAUGUAUGGCUCAAUCUAUAUUUUUGGACUCUCCAGAAAUUUCAUGACAGAUACAUCAAAGAUUCUGACUAUAUGUUGGGCAGAGACAUCCUACUCCAUGACAACUAUUGGGAUGAAUACAUGAAUAAAGCAGACAUGUGGCUGGAGGAUCCAAAUGUCACCUUGUACAAAUGGUUGGAGGAAGCUCCACCGAUAAUCUACAGAGCUUGGGGGAGGCAAGGUGAUGAUGUGGGCAGUUCUGUGCAAGAAUAUAUUGAAAACCAAACCCAUCACUUAGAAGACCAUGUCAGAAUUCUAGAAGAGUUGUUGGACAACUACACAGCCACUGCUAGUAAGUGGCUGGACGUGCAUGCCACAAUAAAACAUGUAAGAUCCCAGAAAUCCACCCGGAAUUUGCUCCAUGCAGCUCCCCUGGCUGAGAAGCUAGGAAGCACACAAGCUAUAGUAUUUCAAAGGAAGUACCUCAGUGUCAUGGAAUGGGUGGAAGAGCACAUUGAUGCUUUAGAACAGUGGCUGUGGGGCACCACGAAUCAAAGAAAAUUGUAAAGACAUUUUUGGAGUUCUAGAUAUCACUCCUCUCAGCUGAAGUCAUGUGAAUCUUAUCCUGUCAAUUUUACAGCCUACCUAUGCGGAGGUUAUGACAUCUGAACAUGAAUGAAACUUAAGCAGAUACAUUUUUUUGUGCAAAUCUGUGUGGUGACCAUGCUCAGAAAAGUGGCUAUAAUUCUAAUCACUGUAUCUCAAUAUUCAAGGGCUGGGGUAAAUCUUUCAUGAGGAAAGGUUAAAAUAUUUCAGGCUCUUUGAUGUUGGUGGGGGG
rnacentral:lncRNA from 1 species